rnacentral:rRNA from 1 species
GGGCGGGCGGAGAAGGGGGGAGGAAAAGAGAAAGAGAGAAGGGCAGAGGGGCGAGGAAAGGGUUUAGACUGGCGUCGGCGUGCUGCGUGGAUGGGUUGGGGGUCUCGUGGUCGUCGGGGCUGGAUCGGGUCGGGCCGGGGAGCGCGCGGGCGUGUCGGCCGGAGGUGGCGCGGCGGCGCGGCGGCGCGGCACCGGCGGCCCGUGGAGGGCCAUCCCCUCGCCGCGGAGCAAAGAAACUACGCGGCACUUCCUUAACCCUCGUUCUUCGGCACUACAAAUGAGGCGUCCCCUUUCCUACCUUGCCGACCAGGUGCGGCAGAGGUCCCU